rnacentral:rRNA from 1 species
AUUGAACGCUGGCGGCAGGCCUAACACAUGCAAGUCGGGCGAGCGGCAGACGGGUGAGUAAUGUAUGGGGACUGCCUGAUGGCGGGGGAAAACUACUGGAAACGGUAGCUAAUACCGCAUACCUUCAGAUAACAUAUAUGGGAUUGGCUUUGAGGGGAGGUAACGGCUCACCAAGGCGACGAUCCCUAGUUGGUGUGAGAGGAUGAUCAGCCACACUGUGACUGAGCCACGGCCCAGACUCCUACGGAGGCAGAGGUGGGGAAUAUUGCACAAUGGGCGCAAGCCUGAUGCAGCCAUUCCGCGUGUAUGAAGAAGGCCUUCGGGUUGUAAAGUACUUUCAGUCGGGAGGCGUUACCGACAGAAGAAGCACCGGCUAACUCCGUGCCAGCAGCCGCGGUAAUUC